rnacentral:rRNA from 1 species
UUGGAGGGCAAGUCUGGUGCCAGCAGCCGCGGUAAUUCCAGCUCCAAUAGCGUAUAUUAAAGUUGUUGCAGUUAAAAAGCUCGUAGUUGAAUUUCGGAGUCAAUGCAUCGGUCGUGCCUUCGGUACGUACUAAUGACAUUGAUUCCUCCCUUCUGACGAACCGUGAUGUCAUUAAUUUGGUGUUACGGGGAGUCAGGACUGUUACCUUGAAAAAAUUAGAGUGUUUAAAGCAGGC